CUCUUCCCCAAAUCUCUCUCUCUCUCUUCGUGAUCUCUCCCUCUUUGAGAGAUAGUCGCCGCCGCUGCCGAGGCAAGUUCCGGCGAAUGGUAGCUAUUCGCGCUCUUCCGGCGACAUCGGUCGCCGCGACCUCGCCUCUCCAUUUUCCUCUAACAUAUAGCUAGGGCAAAGGUUGAGCCCUAGUUCUUCUCGCCCCCACCCACCCUGCAUCGCGUCGCCUCUGACGCCGCUCUUCUCGCAGCAGCAGAUCGGGCGGCGGAGCACCCUUCUCCCCUCCACCGAGCACGAGCAGACCACCCAUCUCCUCCACCGACGCCGCUCUUCUUGCAGCAGCAGCAGCAGCAGAUCGGGCUUUUUGCUGCUCCGUCUGCCACCUACCGCACCCGUCUCUCUUUAUCCGUCCGUUAGCCCUAGCAGCUGCCGCCGGUGGAGCUCUCAAUCGCAGACCCUAGGAGCCGCCGCUGUCGCUGCCGCCUUCUACAAUAGCCACCACCAAGGGGAUUAUCUCUCACAUUCUCUAUUCAACAAUAUAGAAUGAAUUCAUUCUUAAGGUUAUCUGAAUUAUCUCUCUGUUAUUGGAUUAUCUCUCACAUUCUCCAACUACGAAUUCGCGCCGCGCAGCGAGGCAUGGAGCGAAGACGAGAGCUUCGUGCUGCUGGAGGUGUGGGGGGAGCGGUACAUGGAGCUCGGUAGGCGGAGCCUGAGGGCAGAGGACUGGGUGUGUGAGCAACCUGCGCCCCUCCCCAUAUCAGGGAGCCCCUUCUCCGGUCUAGGCCCAUUGGUCCGGCAACUCUGUAACAGUUGCCGACGCCUCCUCAACCCAACGACUAAUAGCAGAUGCACAUCUUAUACCAGUUGAAUUGCCAGAGAUAAAAUUGUUGACCGACAGGUUGCUGAAAAGACAGCUCUUCUUCGUCCUAUAGAAUUGAAACGAGUCCCACUGUCUCUGGAAGGUAGUGCCUUCAGAAGAAAGUUUCUGGACACAGAUGAACUUAUGGGCUACUGCAGUUGGUUUGCUGUAAGAACUAUUGCCUUCAUCAUCACUGUUCACUUUCAAUUUGAUUUUGCAAAUGCAUCGUCAUUGGUCUGCUGUCCAUGAUUUUAUGUGAACAUUGAAUCUGGAUCCUUAAGUUUCUUCUACUUUUUAUUCUUAUACUAAAAGACAUUAAUCUACUUGUAUCUGCAGUGAGACAACUCAAAAUCAGAUCUACAUUGCUUUAUAUUUGGGAAACUGCUAUGUAGAUUCAUACUCGUCAGUUGCAAAUUCUGUUUAUAUCAGCAUUUCUUUUGAGGUUUCAAUCAUCUGUCCUUUGCUGUUAUAAUGAUAAUAUGAAACUGCAUUCCUCUAUGAAAUCAUGAUUCUUGAAAUAUCCUUGGACAGUAAGUUAUCAGUGCUGUACCCAUUGCCUCACCAUGUAUAUUUUUACUUAUUUUUGGGUCAGAUACGGUCAAGAGAUUGUGGAUAAGUUGGUUUCUGUGUUGCUAAUGCUCUGUUCUCUUUGUAAAUCCAUGAUCUAUUGUUUAGUCUAGAAAACUAUUGCCAAGAUAUAUCUUCCAGAGCAUUAAAACUACUUUUCCCUGUUCUUUCAUGUUUUCUCAUUUAACAUUUGACAAACAAUGUAUGCUAGCUGUA